ACAUUGGUGGUUCAGUGGUAGAAUACUCACCUUCUACGUGAGAGACCGGGGUUCAUUUUCCAGCCAGUGCA
rnacentral:tRNA from 1 species